rnacentral:rRNA from 1 species
AUGGUUCUGACUGCUUAUUGCACCACAUGUGUUUUUCUUUGAAACAAACUUGCUUUGGCGGUGGGCCCAGCCUGCCGCCAGAGGUCUAAACUUGCAACCAAUUUUUUAUCAACUUGUCACACCAGAUUAUUACUAAUAGUCAAAACUUUCAACAACGGAUCUCUUGGUUCUCGCAUCGAUGAAGAACGCAGCGAAAUGCGAUACGUAAUAUGAAUUGCAGAUAUUCGUGAAUCAUCGAAUUUUUGAACGCACAUUGCGCCCUCUGGUAUUCCGGAGGGCAUGCCUGUUUGAGCGUCGUUUCUCCCUCAAACCGCUGGGUUUGGUGUUGAGCAAUACGACUUGGGUUUGCUUGAAAGACGGUAGUGGUAAGGCGGGAUCGCUUUGACAAUGGCUUAGGUCUAACCAAAAACAUUGCUUGCGGCGGUAACGUCUACCACGUAUAUCUUCAAACUUUGACCUCAAAUCAGGUAGGACUACCCGCUGAACUUAAGCAUAUCAAUAAG